GGGGGUGCAAUGGCUUCGACGGGGAUAUAUAAACAAAAUAAGCGAGUAGUGGCGGGAGUCCACUUAAAAAGCCCAAUUUUAAAUUUAAACGCUAACGAUAAUUUAGCUUACGCUGCCUAAUUAACGGCAGCCGUCCUUACUUCGAGAACUGCAUAGAAGAUUAAGGGCGUCAUUUUGCAGUGAACACGAGUGGGUAAUGCCCUGAUUCCCACCGGGUAUUAUUGGGCUACCAAACACAGAGGAUUGCGUGUGAAACUCUGUGUGAGGGAAAUAACCGAGAGGUUUCGAACACAAUAAGCCUUAAACUUUACAAAUUUGCACCAUUUCAACUUGUCGUCCUCGAAAGGCGUGGUGCCUACCUUCGUCCUCCGCAUUGAAAUUGCACUAAAUUUCUUGCGUUUAAGGUCGAAGAGUUUCAAAACAACAAAUUUUGAUGGAAGACAAGAAAAAUUCUUUGGAUAAUACGGGUGUAUAUUCACAGAAUUUUACGAAGUAUUACGCAAAAUUUGUGUUUUAAAACCUUAUUGGGUUCGAAUCCUCUCGGUUACAAUCACACGAUACACUCGUAGAAAGUUUUGCGGAGUAUUUUCGGACUGGGGUUCGACUCCCCACACUUCCACCA
rnacentral:tmRNA from 1 species